rnacentral:rRNA from 1 species
ACUGAACGCUGGCGGCAGGCUUAACACAUGCAAGUCGAGCGAGCGGCGGACGGGUGAGUAAUGUAUGGGGACUGCCCGAUAGAGGGGGUUAACUACUGGAAACGGUAGCUAAUACCGCAUACUUUCGGAUAACUCAUAUGGGAUUAGCUAGUAGGUGGGGUAAUGGCUCACCUAGGCGACGAUCACUAGCCGGUCUGAGAGGAUGUACAGCCACACUGGGACUGAGAAACGGCCCAGACUCCUACGGAGGCAGCAGUGGGGAAUAUUGCACAAUGGGCGCAAGCCUGAUGCAGCCAUGCCGCGUGUAUGAAGAAGGCCCUAGGGUUGUAAAGUACUUUCAGUCGGGAGGCGUUACCGACAGAAGAAGCACCGGCUAACUCCGUGCCAGCAGCCGCGGUAAUAC